rnacentral:rRNA from 1 species
GAUGAACGCUGGCGGCGUGCCUAACACAUGCAAGUCGAGCGAACAGACGAGGAGCUUGCUCCUCUGACGUUAGCGGCGGACGGGUGAGUAACACGUGGAUAACCUACCUAUAAGACUGGGAUAACUUCGGGAAACCGGAGCUAAUACCGGAUAAUAUAUUGAACCGCAUGGUUCAAUAGUGAAAGACGGUUUUGCUGUCACUUAUAGAUGGAUCCGCGCCGCAUUAGCUAGUUGGUAAGGUAACGGCUUACCAAGGCAACGAUGCGUAGCCGACCUGAGAGGGUGACCGCCACACUUGGACCUGAGAAACGUCCAAGAUCCCUAGGGGAGGCACAGGUAGGGAAUUUUCGGCAAUGGGGGAAAGCCUGAGGGAGAACGGCCGGGUGGGUGAUGAAGGCUUCCGGUUGGUAAAACCUUGUUAUAAGGGAAAAAAAAAUGUGAAGGUACCUAUGCCCGUUUGACGGUUACUAAAGAAGAAAGCACGGCUAACUACGUG